UAGAGUUUGAUUAUGGCUCAGGAUGAACGCUGGCGGCGUGCCUAAUACAUGCAAGUCGAGCGAACAGACGAGGAGCUUGCUCCUCUGACGUUAGCGGCGGACGGGUGAGUAACACGUGGAUAACCUACCUAUAAGACUGGGAUAACUUCGGGAAACCGGAGCUAAUACCGGAUAAUAUAUUGAACCGCAUGGUUCAAUAGUGAAAGACGGUUUUGCUGUCACUUAUAGAUGGAUCCGCGCCGCAUUAGCUAGUUGGUAAGGUAACGGCUUACCAAGGCAACGAUGCGUAGCCGACCUGAGAGGGUGAUCGGCCACACUGGAACUGAGACACGGUCCAGACUCCUACGGGAGGCAGCAGUAGGGAAUCUUCUGCAAUGGGCGAAAGCCUGACGGAGCAACGCCGCGUGAGUGAUGAAGGUCUUCGGAUCGUAAAACUCUGUUAUUAGGGAAGAACAAAUGUGUAAGUAACUAUGCACGUCUUGACGGUACCUAAUCAGAAAGCCACGGCUAACUACGUGCCAGCAGCCGCGGUAAUACGUAGGUGGCAAGCGUUAUCCGGAAUUAUUGGGCGUAAAGCGCGCGUAGGCGGUUUUUUAAGUCUGAUGUGAAAGCCCACGGCUCAACCGUGGAGGGUCAUUGGAAACUGGAAAACUUGAGUGCAGAAGAGGAAAGUGGAAUUCCAUGUGUAGCGGUGAAAUGCGCAGAGAUAUGGAGGAACACCAGUGGCGAAGGCGACUUUCUGGUCUGUAACUGACGCUGAUGUGCGAAAGCGUGGGGAUCAAACAGGAUUAGAUACCCUGGUAGUCCACGCCGUAAACGAUGAGUGCUAAGUGUUAGGGGGUUUCCGCCCCUUAGUGCUGCAGCUAACGCAUUAAGCACUCCGCCUGGGGAGUACGACCGCAAGGUUGAAACUCAAAUGAAUUGACGGGG
rnacentral:rRNA from 1 species